GGACUACCAGGGUUUCUAAUCCUGUUUGCUCCCCUAGCUUUCGUGCCUCAGUGUCAGGAGUUGUCCAGGGACUCGCCUUCGCCACUGGUGUUCCUCUCGAUAUCUACGCAUUUCACUGCUACACCGAGAAUUCCAGUCCCCCCUCCAACCCUCUAGCAGAAUAGUAUUCAAUGCAGUUUCCGAGUUAAGCUCGGAGAUUUCACAUCAAACUUACCCCGCCACCUACGCACCCUUUACGCCCAGUGAAUCCGAACAACGCUUGGGACCUCUGUAUUACCGCGGCGGCUGGCAC
rnacentral:rRNA from 2 species